rnacentral:rRNA from 1 species
CAAUAGCGUAUAUUUAAGUUGUUGCAGUUAAAAAGCUCGUAGUUGGAUUUCGGGUGGGACGCAGCGGUCUCGCAUUGCGUUUGUACUGCUGCAGCCCUCCUUCUUGCCGGGGGCGGCCUCUCGGACUUCACUGUCUGGGGGUCAGAAUCGGCGAUGUUACUUUGAGUAAAUUAGAGUGUUCAAAGCAAGCUUACGCUCUGAAUAUAAUAGCAUGGGAUAACACGACUGGACUCUGGCCUAUCGUGUUGGUCUAUAGGACCAGAGUAAUGAUUAAGAGGGACAGUCGGGGGCAUUCGUAUUCCGUUGUCAGAGGUGAAAUUCUUGGAUUUACGGAAGACGAACAUCUGCGAAAGCAUUUGCCAAGGAUGUUUNCAUUGA